rnacentral:rRNA from 1 species
AUAGGCGGGUCUCCAAAGAUUAAGCCAAUGCAAGUUUUAAGGAAUAGGCAAUUUUAUCCAAGGGAAACUGCCGAAAUGGCCUCAAUUAAAUCAAGUAUUGAUCUACCAUGGGCAAACUUUUUUUCGCUACUGGAUAACCGUGGUAAUUCUAGAGCUAAAUACAUGCAGAAAAGCCCUGACUUCGGAACGGGUGCACCUAUUAGGUUAUAAACCCAUACCCACCUUUACCCGGGGGGUUUAAUGGGGAGUUCAUACACAAAUUAAGCUGUUUGCAAAGGCCAUAGACCGGGACGGGACAUUGAUUUUUGGCGCCAUCAGGGCUAUGAUGGAAGUAAUGGCUAAAACAUGGCAUCACGCGUAACGUGGAGUUAAGUGUUAUUCCCCAGAAGGGACCCACGUUCGGAGUCACGUCCCAAGAAGGCAUCAGCUGCACAAUUACCCCAGUUCUCCAGUGGUAAGGAAUUGCCAAUGGGUAUCAAUGCAGGGUUAAUAAGCCAUUUGCAAUUUCCAUGAAUCGGUGUCCCCGCCAAACUGCAGUCCCCCAAAG